UACGUAGGGUGCGAGCGUUAAUCGGAAUUCUGGGCGUAAAGCGUGCGUAGGCGGUUCGUUAAGUUCCGUCGUGAAAGCCCCGGGCUCAACCUGGGAAUGGCGAUGGAAACUGGGCGGGCUGGAGUAUGGCAGAGGGGGGUGGAAUUCCGCGUGUAGCAGUGAAAUGCGUAGAGAUGCGGAGGAACACCGAUGGCGAAGGCAGCCCCCUGGGCCAAUACUGACGCUCGAGGCACGAAGACGUGGGGAGCAAACAGG
rnacentral:rRNA from 1 species